rnacentral:rRNA from 1 species
GAACGCUGGCGGCGUGCCUAAUACAUGCAAGUCGAGCGGAUCGAUGGGAGCUUGCUCCCUGAGAUCAGCGGCGGACGGGUGAGUAACACGUGGGUAACCUGCCUGUAAGACUGGGAUAACUCCGGGGAAACCGGGGGCUAAUACCGGAUAAUUUAGUUCCUCGCAUGAGGAACUGUUGAAAGGUGGCUUCGGCUACCACUUUACAGAUGGACCCGCGGCGCAUUAGCUAGUUGGUGAGGUAACGGCUCACCAAGGCAACGAUGCRUAGCCGACCUGAGAGGGUGAUCGGCCACACUGGGGACUGAGACACGGCCCCAGACUCCUACGGGGAGGCAGCAGUAGGGAAUCUUCCGCAAUGGACGAAAGUCUGACGGAGCAACGCCGCGUGAGUGAUGAAGGCUUUCGGGUCGUAAAACUCUGUUGUUAGGGAAGAACAAGUACAAGAGUAACUGCUUGUACCUU